CGGGCGUCUUAACAUGCAAGUCGAACGGUUAAAGCACCUUUUAGGUGUGUAUAAAGUGGCGAACGGCUGAGUAACACGUGGGCAACCUGCCCUCCUCUUGGGGAUAGCCUCGGGAAACCGAGGAUAAUACCCGAUACUUCAAUGUGGCCGCAUGACGACAUUGAGAAAGCUUUUGCGGAGAAGGAUGGGCCCGCGGCCUGUUAGCUUGUUGGUGGGGUAGAGGCCUACCAAGGCAAUGAUGGGUAGCUGGGUUGAGAGACCGACCAGCCAGAUUGGGACUGAGACACGGCCCAGACUCCUACGGGAGGCAGCAGUGGGGAAUCUUGCACAAUGGGCGAAAGCCUGAUGCAGCGACGCCGCGUGCGGGAAGAAGGCCUUCGGGUUGUAAACCGCUUUCAGCAGGGACGAGGCGAAAGUACGGUACC
rnacentral:rRNA from 2 species